GAGAAAUAAUGCAGGGAUGGAUAUUUCAUAGAGCUUUUUGGAAUUACACAUAGUAUGACAUUAUGUGGAGGUAAACUGGUCCUCCAUGCUCAGCCAUGUUUACAAUAUCAAUGCAAUAGUAUUUUUCACAAAGACCACCAAGAACAUCUAAUGGUCACAACAGUCAGGUUAAUGAAGGUACGCUUAUCCGGGAUUCAUCUUAAAUCACACAUCAAUUACGUAAGCCACCCUAAAUCUUUUUGUUUGUUUUCGGAUGCACAUUGAAACACAUUGAUAUCGAUAUAUGCUCGAUCGCAAGACCGAAUACAGGGCCUGCUUCAAUAUACAGUAUAUAAAUUAUUGAAUUCAAUUGAAACUCGUGUUUCUUUCCUUCUAAGGCCCCUUCUUCCAUACUGCAUUUAAUUGGUUGUCUAGCUAGGCUGAGGACUCGUGCUUUCAUCAAUAACACACAUAAAUAGCUUAUCUCCCUCUAAAAGAAAAGCCCUGGAAACGCCAUUUGAAACCAUCACUGAAGAACUUUAAGACUUAAGCUUGUUAAGAGAGCACUCAAGUCAGAUGUGCUGGUGAGUGACCAAGGCCUAACAAAAGAAAAGUACACCACCCGUAAAUUACUCUGCAGCUUAGCUACAGUGGAGGUAAAGUUCACUGCAGAAUUCAACAUAUGUGUGCAAAGGUGAGCUAGAUACCAUAUUCCACAGUCAUCUAGUUUGAUGUGUGGAAAAAAGUCACAACACACUAGUGAUCGAGGCAUCUCACUAGAUUGCGUAAAAGCCUGGAGGUACAAUAAAAUGCAGAUGAGGCUUUCCAUUCAUCAGUGACGCAACUAUGCUCCUAGUCAACAGCUGAGAUGGGAGUAUUUAUACAAUACUCUCAUCUCCAAGAGGUAAACGUACAUUUCUCAGAAAGAACGUAUUUCCGAAACGUAUGAUUUUCCAGAACUGAGACAAUCUUUUUCCAUUCAAUAUGCAUUGUUUUUGCCGUCAUCUUCUUCCUCAUCAGCUUCACACAGAUGCUAAAAUGGCGUUUCAGAAAGAAAGACGAGCGAGGGGGAAAAGAAGGAGCGGAAGACACCGAGCAAGGAGAGGGAAGGGAAGGCGAAAUCCGGAGGAUGAUGGGUGGGGACGAGGAAACAUUCAAGAGAAAAUCUGUGCGAUUCAAUCAAGCUUAAUUCUAUUUUGAUAAUUGUCUGCGUUCGCAUCUCUGCCUCUCUCCAUAGGGAUGCUGUGACUUGUGUACGAGACUGACAAUGAAGUCGGUAACAGCAGCUGCUCGGUGCCGGGGUAGCUCGUGUACCUCACUGCUCAAGUCUUGUCAGUCACAUUUCCCCUAAUUAACUAACAUCUGCUUUCCAUUUUCAGUUACACUGCAUCGCCAGCUUGUCUCAUCUGAAUCGCCGACUCUUGACCUCCCCUGAGGCAGGAGAAGAGUUGUGUAUCAGCCAGUCUUCAGAGCCAGGGUGGGUCUGAUGCUAAAUAAAGAGACAAACCCCGCCAACUGCUUAUGAUUCCAAAAUAAUUGAGAUCUGGUCGUUUUGGGUUGACAAGGAUGAGGAAAGGAGGAGGGGGCAAAAUGUCAACCAUCAAGCCAUCGUCCCUAACCCCAAACCGUGCACCCCUUCGGCAGCAGCUUAAGCACAGAUUUAAAACCUGGGAGAGGAUUAUCUACAUACAAGACUGCUGACCUAUAAAAUGAGGUGUUGCUAUGUACCGUUGGUGGAGUCAUAGGCCAGCGCAAUCAACAACACACCCAACAAAGUCCUGCAUUCAGCACCUGUCCCUGAUCAGCACCACAUCACUGAAACUGAACCUCAAUGAAGAGGAAAAAGGAAAGCAGUCAAAUCCGAAAGAAAUCAACAGCAUUUAGCUGGGGCAGCUUCUGUCCUCUGUCCCCCUGCAUUCUAAUCAACCUCUGGUAGUUCUAAUUUAUGAAACGUAAUUCUGCCCUCCACUGGUACGAAAAAGGUGCACACACACUCAGGAACACAUACAUUUCCUGCUUUACAAGUAU